GGCGCGAAAACUUUACAAUGCCGGCAACGGCGAUAAGGGGACCUCGAGUGCCAGGUUACAAAUCUGGCUGUCGUAAUGCCUAAAAAGCAUUUCAUAGCAAGGGCCGGGCAAGACCGGUGCCAGCCGCCGCGGUAACACCGGCGGCUCGAGUGGUAACCGUUAUUAUUGGGUCUAAAGGGUCUGUAGCCGGCCGGAUAAGUCUCUUGAGAAAUCUGGCAGCUUAACUGUCAGGCUAUCAGGGGAUACUGUCUGGCUCGAGGCCGGGAGAGGUGAGAGGUACUUCAGGGGUAGGGGUGAAAUCUUGUAAUCCUUGAAGGACCACCAGUGGCGAAGGCGUCUCACCAGAACGGACCUGACGGCAAGGGACGAAAGCUAGGGGCACGAACCGGAUUAGAAACCCCAGUAGUCC
rnacentral:rRNA from 1 species